CCUCAGCAGGAAAAUUUUUACAUAUCAAUCUAAUCGAAAUGUAUUUUGUGAAGAUCCAACAAAAGCUAUUAAAUGUAUAGUGAGAGAGGAAGGAUAUGUAGGCAUACCAAUUAGGGUAAAAAUAAUAUUUUUUAAAGAAUAUAAUAUUAUUUAAUUUAAAUGACGAAAUUUUUAUGGAUGCAAUAAUACCAAAGAAAAUUUGUGAACUUUUCCUUAUCACAAGUAGGAACUGGAAGGUUUUUCAUUCUUAAUUAUCUCACUCUUAAUGGUUCGAUUUCAAACCAAGUGGCCAUUAUCCCAAGAUAAAAAGUGGUGUAUUAAAGAGAUCUUCACAAUCGAUCACAUUGUGGGUGAUGGAAACUGUUUUUUAGGUGUGUAAGUAAGGAGAUAUCAAAUAGCCAGGAUAAUUAUCUGAGGGAAAAGUGCGUUAGCGAAUAUUUCAAAUUGGAUAUGGGAAAAUUUAUAGGAUUCCCUGUAGAGGAAUACCUAGUUAAUAAAAAUGUUAUGGGAAACAGCGGUGGAAAUAUUAUAUAUAACCACAUUUGUUGCAGACAAAUAUAUUAAUUUAUACU